rnacentral:rRNA from 1 species
UACAGAGGUGGCAAGCGUUGUUCGGAAUUACUGGGCGUAAAGGGCUCGUAGGCGGCCCGCUAAGUCGAACGUGAAAUCCCCGAGCUCAACUCGGGAACUGCGUCCGAUACUGGCGGGCUUGAAUCCGGGAGAGGGAUGCGGAAUUCCAGGUGUAGCGGUGAAAUGCGUAGAUAUCUGGAGGAACACCGGUGGCGAAGGCGGCAUCCUGGACCGGCAUUGACGCUGAGGCGCGAAAGCUAGGGGAGCAAACGGG